rnacentral:sRNA from 1 species
GAUCAUCACCUUCACCAAGAACAACCAGUUCCAGGCCCUGCUGCAGUAUGCGGACCCCGUGAGCGCCCAGCACGCCAAGCUGGUGAGUGGGGUUCCCGGGACGGCGCCCGCCCUGGCCCGGCCACGUCUCACGGUCCCUCUCCCCUCAGUCGCUGGACGGGCAGAACAUCUACAACGCCUGCUGCACGCUGCGCAUCGACUUUUCCAAGCUCACCAGCCUCAACGUCAAGUACAACAAUGACAAGAGCCGCGACUACACACGCCCAGACCUGCCUUCCGGGGACAGCCAGCCCUCGCUGGACCAGACCAUGGCCGCGGCCUUCGGCCUUUCCGUUCCCAACGUCCACGGCGCCCUGGCCCCCCUGGCCAUCCCCUCGGCGGCGGCGGCAGCUGCGGCGGCAGGCCGGAUCGCCAUCCCGGGCCUGGCGGGGGCAGGAAAUUCUGUAUUGCUGGUCAGCAACCUCAACCCAGAGGUACGUGGGCUUUUCCUCCGCGCCGCCGUUCCUCCCGGAAGAGCGAGCAGGGGAUGUUGUGCUCGGGCUCGGGUCCCGGAGCAGCGCCGCCCCUCGCUGUGUCU